GAAAUACCACCCUUUAAUGUUUGAUGUUCUAACGUGGACCCGUGAUCCGGGUUGCGGACAGUGUCUGGUGGGUAGUUUGACUGGGGCGGUCUCCUCCUAAAGAGUAACGGAGGAGCACGAAGGUUGGCUAAUCCUGGUCGGACAUCAGGAGGUUAGUGCAAUGGCAUAAGCCAGCUUGACUGCGAGCGUGACGGCGCGAGCAGGUGCGAAAGCAGGUCAUAGUGAUCCGGUGGUUCUGAAUGGAAGGGCCAUCGCUCAACGGAUAAAAGGUACUCCGGGGAUAACAGGCUGAUACCGCCCAAGAGUUCAUAUCGACGGCGGUGUUUGGCACCUCGAUGUCGGCUCAUCACAUCCUGGGGCUGAAGUAGGUCCCAAGGGUAUGGCUGUUCGCCAUUUAAAGUGGUACGCGAGCUGGGUUUAGAACGUCGUGAGACAGUUCGGUCCCUAUCUGCCGUGGGCGCUGGAGAACUGAGGGGGGCUGCUCCUAGUACGAGAGGACCGGAGUGGACGCAUCACUGGUGUUCGGGUUGUCAUGCCAAUGGCACUGCCCGGUAGCUAAAUGCGGAAGAGAUAAGUGCUGAAAGCAUCUAAGCACGAAACUUGCCCCGAGAUGAGUUCUCCCUGAGACUUUAGGUCUCCUGAAGGAACGUUGAAGACGACGACGUUGAUAGGCCGGGUGUGUAAGCGCAGCGAUGCGUUGAGCUAACCGGUACUAAUGAACCGUGAGGCUUAACCUUACA
rnacentral:rRNA from 2 species